GGAGGGUGUAGCUCAGUGGUAGAGUGUGUGCUUAGCAUGCAUGAGGUCCUGGGUUCAAUCCCCAGCAUCUCCA
rnacentral:tRNA from 1 species